rnacentral:rRNA from 1 species
AUUGAACGCUGGCGGCAUGCCUUACACAUGCAAGUCGAACGGUAACGCGGGGCAACCUGGCGACGAGUGGCGAACGGGGGAGUAAUGCAUCGGAACGUGCCCAGAAGUGGGGGAUAGCCCGGCGAAAGCCGGAUUAAUACCGCAUGAGACCUGAGGGUGAAAGCGGGGGAUCGCAAGACCUCGCGCUUUUGGAGCGGCCGAUGUCAGAUUAGCUAGUUGGUGGGGUAAAGGCCUACCAAGGCGACGAUCUGUAGCUGGUCUGAGAGGACGACCAGCCACACUGGGACUGAGACACGGCCCAGACUCCUACGGGAGGCAGCAGUGGGGAAUUUUGGGCAAUGGGCGCAAGCCUGAUCCAGCCAUGCCGCGUGCGGGAAGAAGGCCUUCGGGUUGUAAACCGCUUUUGUCAGGGAAGAAACGCUCUGGGCUAAUACCCUGGGGUAAUGACGGUACCUGAAGAAUAAGCACCGGCUAACUACGUG